CCGUAAUCCGGGUUGCGGACAGUGUCUGACGGGCAGUUUGACUGGGGCGGUCGCCUCCUAAAGAGUAACGGAGGCGCCCAAAGGUUCCCUCAGAUUGGUUGGAAAUCAUUCGCAGAGUGCAAAGGCAGAAGGGAGCUUGACUGCGAGAGCUACAACUCGAGCAGGGACGAAAGUCGGGCUUAGUGAUCCGGUGGUACCGAAUGGAAGGGCCAUCGCUCAACGGAUAAAAGCUACCCUGGGGAUAACAGGCUUAUCUCGCCCAAGAGUUCAUAUCGACGGCGGUGUUUGGCACCUCGAUGUCGGCUCAUCUCAUCCUGG
rnacentral:ncRNA from 1 species